GACGAACGCUGGCGGCGUGCCUAAUACAUGCAAGUCGAACGAGAGCAACCGGUGCUUGCACUGGUCAAUCUAGUGGCGAACGGGUGAGUAACACGUGGGUAACCUGCCCAUCAGAGGGGGAUAACAUCCGGAAACGGAUGCUAAAACCGCAUAGGUCUUCGAACCGCAUGGUUGGAAGAGGAAAAGAGGCGCAAGCUUCUGCUGAUGGAUGGACCCGCGGUGCAUUAGCUAGUUGGUGAGGUAACGGCUCACCAAGGCCGUGAUGCAUAGCCGACCUGAGGGGGUGAUCGGCCACAUUGGGACUGAGACACGGCCCAAACUCCUACGGGAGGCAGCAGUAGGGAAUCUUCCGCAAAGGACGCAAGUCUGACGGAGCAACGCCGCGUGAGUGAAGAAGGUUUUCGGAUCGUAAAACUCUGUUGUUAGAGAAGAACAAGUGCUAGAGUAACUGUUAGCGCCUUGACGGUAUCUAACCAGAAAGCCACGGCUAACUACGUG
rnacentral:rRNA from 1 species